GUUCAACAAUAUCAAACCAACUCUAUGGUCUAUAUAUUAAUACUAAAAUCAUUUGAAAAAGAAAACAUAUAUAGUAAUACUCUUUUAGAAACAGAGUAUAGAGUAGUAAUAUACUCAGACGGCUAAAUGUACAUUUCAAUAAACCUUACGCCCACGGCCCACGGUGGUUGAAAACAACUUACCGCUACUCUUACAUAAGAAUAUCAAAUGUAAAUUUGCUCUUUUUCAAAAGAGGAAAAUAAAAAAAUAUUAAAAAUAUAAUAUAGUCUCCACCAUUCUAACCAACCAACUUUGAAAUUUUGUCUUGC
rnacentral:lncRNA from 1 species